rnacentral:rRNA from 1 species
GACAGAGGGUGCAAACGUUGUUCGGAAUUACUGGGCGUAAAGCGUGUGUAGGCGGUCCACUAAGUCGGAUGUGAAAGCCCUGGGCUCAACCCAGGAAGUGCACUCGAAACUGGUGGGCUAGAGUAUCGGAGAGGUUGGUGGAAUUCUCGGUGUAGAGGUGAAAUUCGUAGAUAUCGAGAGGAACACCGGUGGCGAAGGCGGCCAACUGGACGAAUACUGACGCUGAGACACGAAAGCGUGGGGAGCAAACAGG